rnacentral:rRNA from 1 species
AUGCUCACCCUCCCGUGCUUCACCACUCCUCCUCAACCUCCACCGACCCGGCCGGUCCGGUCCGGUCCGGUCCCGGCUCCGGAAGUCUCCAGAACCCGGACAACCACCGCCACGCGGGCCCGCAUGGCAGGGUCACGUCCCUCACGCGCCGCUACCUCCGGCGAGACCUGCUCGCACCACCCCCUCAUAAAUACUGGUGCGCCCAAGCCUCGCCGCAGAUCGACCGCGCUCGCCCUCUCCACUUUCCUGCUGCUGGUGCUGUUAACCGGACUCCCCGACGCCGCCGUCGCCGCCAACAUGACCGAGGUCUGCGUCAAGGCCGCCGUCGGCCACCCCGACACGCUCGGCGACUGUCCCUUCUCCCAGAGGGUGCUGCUCACGCUGGAGGAGAAGAAGGUGCCCUACCAGAUGAAGCUCAUCGACGUCAGCAACAAGCCCGACUGGUUCCUGAAGAUCAAUCCAGAGGGCAAGGUGCCUGUGUAUAACGGUGGUGAUGGCAAAUGGAUUGCUGAUUCUGAUGUGAUCACUCAAGUCAUUGAGGAGAAGUACCCAACUCCAUCACUUGUGACCCCUGCUGAAUAUGCAUCAGUGGGAUCAAAGAUCUUCUCCACCUUUGUCACGUUCUUGAAGAGCAAGGAUGCCAGCGAUGGUUCGGAGAAGGCACUUGUUGAUGAGCUGCAGGCGCUCGAAGAGCACCUGAAGGCCCAUGGACCCUACAUCAAUGGGGCGAACAUCUCCGCUGUCGAUCUCAGCCUGGCUCCGAAGCUCUACCAUCUCCAGGUCGCCCUGGAGCACUUCAAGGGCUGGAAGGUCCCUGAAACCCUGACCAGCGUCCAUGCCUACACCGAGGCUCUCUUCAGCCGCGAGUCGUUCGUCAAGACCAAGGCGACCAAGGAGAACCUGAUCGCCGGGUGGGCGCCGAAAGUGAACCCGUAA